GCUAAAAUAGUUUAACUAAAACCUUGAAUUGUGGUUUCAAAAAUACCUAAUUGGUUUUUAGCC
rnacentral:tRNA from 1 species